GGGUCAGUAGGUUGGUCGUGCCACCGGUACGUACUGGUCUCACUGGUUCCUCCUUCCCGAAGAACCGUAAUGCCAUUAAUUUGGUGUUGCGGGGAAACAGGACUGUUACUUUGAAAAAAUUAGAGUGUUUAAAGCAAGCUAACGCUUGAAUACAUUAGCAUGGAAUAAUGAAAUAGGACGAUCGAUCCUAUUUUGUUGGUUUCUAGGAUUGACGUA
rnacentral:rRNA from 1 species